UUUAGCCAUGCUAGUUGUACGAGUUUAGACUCGUAGCAGAUAGCUCAGUAACACGUGGCCAAAAUACCCUAUAGAUCCAGACAACCUCGGGAAACUGAGGCUAAUCUGGAAUAGGGCUCUCAUCCUGGAGUGGAGAGAGCAUGAAACGCUCCGGCGCUAUAGGAUGUGGCUGCGGCCGAUUAGGUAGACGGUGGGGUAAACGGCCCACCGUGCCAGUAAUCGGUACGGGUUGUGAGAGCAAGAGCCCGGAGACGGUAUCUGAGACAAGAUACCGGGCCCUACGGGGCGCAGCAGGCGCGAAACCUUUACACUGCACGCCAGUGCGAUAAGGGGACUCCAAGUGCGAGGGCAUAUAGUCCUCGCUUUUUGCGACCGUAAGGUGGUCGCGGAAUAAGUGCUGGGCAAGACCGGUGCCAGCCGCCGCGGUAAUACCGGCAGCACGAGUGAUGACCGCUGUUAUUGGGCCUAAAGCGUCCGUAGCUGGCCGCGCAAGUCUAUCGGGAAAUCUCUCCGCUUAACGGAGAGGCGUCCGGUGGAAACUGUGUGGCUUGGGACCGGAAGACCAGAGGGGUACGUCUGGGGUAGGAGUGAAAUCCCGUAAUCCUGGACGGACCACCGGUGGCGAAAGCGCCUCUGGAAGACGGAUCCGACGGUGAGGGACGAAAGCUCGGGUCACGAACCGGAUUAGAUACCCGGGUAGUCCGAGCUGUAAACGAUGUCUGCUAGGUGUGACACAGGCUACGAGCCUGUGUUGUGCCGUAGGGAAGCCGUGAAGCAG
rnacentral:rRNA from 1 species